GCUAGGAGCGCUCCAGCAGGGCUGAAGUAGGAGAGGAAAGGUGUCGGUCCCCCCUCCUCCCCCCGUCCCCACCUCGUCCUACCGGUGUCUCCUCCCUGGCCGUGUGACCCGCGGAGCUGCCGUGGGCCUGCUGCGGCGUGCGGGGGCCAUGGAGCGGCACGUCCCUGUCCACGCCCUGCCCGAGGAGAUUCAACAGAUGUCCCGGGAUGAGACUGUAUGUAAAUACUGUGGAGUCAGCUAUUUGAUACUUCAUGAAUUUAAGGUGAUGGAAGAAAAAGUAAAAGCAAUGGAAAAGGAGAUUAAAUUUUAUGAAGGAAGUAUAGAACGGGAAAAAAGACUUCAAGAAGAAUUGCAGACUCUUUGCCAAGACCUCGAACACAGUCGAGCUGACAGUUGGUCAAAAACAGAAAGAAUAAAAAAACUAACAAUGGAACUGAAAGACAAGCAAGAGGAAUUAAAAAGCAUGAAAGAAGACUUGCGAUAUUUCCAAGGAGAAAAGGAAGCUGCAUAUAAACAAUCACAAGUGCUCAGAAGUACAUUGGAACACCAUUGCUCAACUCUAAACAAGGCGCUCUCGUUAUUUCCUUUUGUUAGAAGUGAACUUGACAGUAUUAAAGAGGUUGUGUCUGGUAAUCUAGAAAACUGGGCUGCCCUGAAAGAAGAAAUUUUUCUACAAAUAAAAGCUGUUAGCAAAGAAGCUUUGGCAGAAAUAUCCAAAUUGAAUCAAAGGUUAGCAAAAUCCCAGGGAGAGAACGAGUCCCUCCAAGAAAAGGUGAAACAUCUGACAUUGGUGGCUGAUACAGUUGAGUUGAAAACACAACAGCUUCAAACUUCACUUCAGCAAGGGAAUGAGCUACAAAAUAGGUGUUGGGAACUACAAAAGGAAACAUUAGAUUUAACAAAUCAAGUAGAGACAAUUGGACUCAAGCUUCAGAAAGUAACAGCUGAAAUGGACCACUACAAAAAGCUGUUAAUGCUGAAAUCAACAGAAGUUGAUGUCUGUCAAAACGAACUGAAAAAAAUGAAGUAUGAAAAUGGAAUUUCUGAAUCAAGACUUACAAAAGAGCUAAAGGAAAAGGAGGAAUCACUACUAGUCUGCCAGCAAGUGUGCAGACAUUUACAGGAAGAAGUGGCUGAGAAAGAGAGGAAGGAAGAAGAUCUAAAAAGAAGAACCGGUCGAUCAGAAAGUGAACUACAAACACUUAAAUCUCUUCUUAGACAAACAGAGGAAGAGGUGGUGAUGUUGAAACAAGAAAGGGAGUUAAUGCUGAUUUCUCAUCAGAACAGAACAGAUCACCUGCAGGAAACAUUAAGACAGAAGAUGCAAAAUGAAGAUAACUGGAGGGAAAAGAUGGAAAUUGACCUGGCUAAAGGUGAAGCACAACACAAAGAAGCUAUUCUUAAAGUCAAGGAAGAAGCGAGAAUGGAACUUGACAUUGAAAGACAAAAACACCAAGAAUUAAUCACAAAAUAUCAGAGAAAUCAAGAAGAGCUGCAGAAGAAGAUACCUGAGUUAAUAUCCAGUGCCAUCAAUAGCUUGAGGAUGGAAGUGGAAAUUCUUGAAAAGAAGCUACAAGAUGCCCAGAUCAAACUUGCAGAAAAAGAUGAAGAUAAGGAAAAAGAUAUUCAGAGCCUUAAAGGACUAAUUACUGAGCUUGAAUUUCAGCUGAAGAUGGAAAAGAACAAUAAUGAAUCAUUUUUGGAUAAUAUGAGGAAAGAAAUCAAACAGAAGUCAGAUGAACUGGAAAAAUUAACACAGGAGCGAACAGAGCUGAUUCACAGUUUGAGUCAAGUUCAGGAGGAGAACACUCUUCUCCAGGAAACAGUGCGCAGAGAGUGUGAGGAACGCUAUGAGCUGACUGAAGCUUUGACUCAAGCCAGGGAACAAGUACUGGAACUAAGAAAGCUCAGUGGAAACUUCCCGUUAUCACAGUGUUCUCUUACCCAGGGCAACCUAACCUCCUGUGCUGCUCUGGUCAAUAAUUACGGACAGAAAAGCCGCACAAGCCCCAACUCUGGGAAGGAAAUCAAUCUCUCAGGACAGUUUAGCAUUUCAAGAGCUCCUAAUGCACCCACCUCCAAUAAGCGUAACAGCAAUGGUAAUGUGAGUUUGCCAGUUCUAACCUCACCACAUCCUCCAAGAGGAAGGGCAUCUUCACUGAACGAAUCCAGGAGCAGAAUUGCUGCAGUUAUAAGAAGACAAUUGAGUCAGCUCUGAUAGCUAAAAAUGUCAAAGACAGUGCAUUCGCAUGUGUGUAGAACACAUGGAAAUCAUUUCAGUGCAUUUAAAUGACCAUUUACUAGUGGAGCCUUGGGGCCAAAUCUUACCAAAUGCACUUCAUGCAUUUCUACAACUUAAAAUUAAGUUAAACUUGUGUAUACAUAUACUGUUGAUGCAAUGAUGUUUCUUUAUCCAUUAUCAAUGUAAUUAAAUGCUAUCUACAUUUCAAGAUGAGAAAAGUAGAAAAAUAUUAUUUCUCCAAGAGGAGCACAUCUUCAAUAGGUAUAAUUAAAAUAAUUGCCACUUUUGAGUAUUAUUUUCCCUAAACCACGUACUUUACUGUAAUUUUCCUAUUUCAAGUGCUGGCCAAUGUAAUUUCGUUGCUUGUUUCUGGUGUAAAAAUGUGGUUUGUUCAGUUAGAGUCAGAUUUUUGCCAUUGUUUAAUUGAGUAGUGUUACAUUUGCAACUAGUUAUGCUUAAGCCAGUGAGAUUAACUAGUCAUGGCGUAAUAUAUCAUUCAGCAUGAGAAUGUGGCAAAUUCUAGCACCACAAAGUAGACUAAACAUUGUCAGGGACUUAACUUCCUUACCGCCUUCGUGUGCAUGUCUUCAAGCCGUGGUAAUCGACAAGGAGUUGAAGACUUAAUACAUUUUGUCUAAAAGAUGAUUGGUUGCCUCUGGAGUUUUAUCACGAAAGAUCCUAGCUUCUUCGAGCUUGAAAAUCAUUAUUCCAUUACCACCUGCAGUCUUCAGGUGCCAAAGUAAUAGAUGUUCAUUAAGGCAGUUCUUAAAAUGGCACAGAGAAUGAAUUCUGUUCUCAGCCCUCCUUCAGACUUACUGGGAACCUGCUCAAACCUAGUAACCGCAGUGCGCUUUGGAUCCGGCUUUGUAUAUGCAUAUGUAUAGUCAACAGCAAAGAAGAAUUUGUGCCCUUCUCUCGUGAACGGCGAGUAGGGGCUUUGGACGCAGUGGCCGGGACGUAGAGGAGCCAUACUGGGGCCCAAACUAGCUCAGACAAAAUAUCCACCUAGCCCAGUAUGUGCACUAGUCACCAGCAGUAGUUGGUAUGGAAAACGUUUCUGAAGUAGGAUAAAUGUGGAACGACCCUUCUCCAGGUGUAUCUUCUCAGAGCUGCAGGCCCUCCUGUUUGGUAAGGUGUGGAGGCCCUUCAGUCCCUGCACUGCCCAGCGCUGCGAUGAAGCCACCACUGCCCAGCGCUGCAAUGAAGCCACCCUGCGAUGAGGCCACCAAUGCCCAGCGCGGCAAUGAGGCCACCCUGCGAUGAAGCCACCACUGCCCGGUGCUGCAGUGAAGCCACUGCUGCCUGGCACUGCGAUGAAGCCAUCCUGCAAUGAAGCCACCACUGCCCAGUGCUGCAGUGAAGCCAUCACUGCCUGGUGCUGCAAUGAAGCCACCCUAUGAUGAGGGCACCAAUGCCGAGUGCUGCGAUGAAGCCACUGCAGCCUGGCACUGAGAUGAAGCCACCCUGUGAUGAGGCCACCACUGCCCAGCGCUGCGAUGAGGCCACCACCACCUGACACUGUGAUGAAGCCACCCUGCGAUGACGCCACCACUGCCCGGCGCUGCGAUGAAGUCGCUUCCUGGGCCAGCGGCUGCCAGAAACACGUCUAGCAGGCACUGGUGAGACUUGCUGCCAGGAGAGGUCCAGCACUCGCAAACCUAGGUGUGUUUUCGUCCUCACAACCUCUGGUGGCAGUAAGGUUCACCAUUUAACUGUACCCUCUGUGGCAGGAAAAAAAAAUCUUUCCGUUUAUUGUAAAUCUGUUACCUGGGGUGACUGCAUCUGCUGAAGUUACCUGACUGCUGCGUGCUUCGUUUGCUGCUCCCCCAGCUCUUGCGUUACAAGCAGCGGGGGAAGCCCCGCUCGCCGCCUUGACACCGGUCCCCACGAGAGAGCCGCACGGUGGCCAAUGGUGCCGCCAGGGCUGCCUGAUGCCUGAGCUGCUUUAAUGGUUUUGGCCAAGCCAUCGGCAUGGCGAACAGGAGCGCGCAGUGACUGCUACAGCGGUAGACGUCGUCGGUGCAAAGGAGGAUUGGGAAGUUGUAUCGGGGAACAGGAUUGGAGAAAUGGUGUGAAAUUUAAUAGCACGCGGCAAAAAAAACAUCUACCAGGAGACUAAUAACGAGACGUCUGCUGUUAGCUAGACUUUGUCAACUGGAAAACACGGGACGGUGGUAACUCUGGGUGCACUUUCCGACUGUGGGAUAAGUACCAGCCGCAGCAUGAUGCUGUUGUGAAAAAUGAGUGCAGGUCUACAAAGGUCAAGGUAUUUCCAGGGGGUAAAGGGAAAAUAUUUGCGCAUUGUACAAGGCUCUCGGGCUUCAGCCUUGCUGUGGGUCGCGGGGAAGGCAAACGGAGAAGGAGGACGGGAAAGGAGGGCUGUCAUGCUCAGAGAUUUCCUUGGUGGCACGGCCAAAGCCCCGAGACCUCCCGACAGCUGAGACGGGCACCUCACCGCUGCAACCAGGGCCCAUUGCCCAUGGCCGGGGCGGGGGGGGCAAACGCGACUUGGGGCAGGGCCAAAGACGGACUACUUAGCAAACCGGAGCUCAGCUCAUGACCUAGAGGAGACGCGACUGCAAAAAGCUCUCUUUUAGCUGAAGGACAGUGUCAGCACAAGCGCAGGCAGGUCUGGCUGGGCUAUAGCUGUGUUUGGGCCGGACGCUGGCCGGAGAUUUCUGGCCAUCAGCGAAGCGAGGGUGUGAAACAGUCACCUAACGAGAGCGGGGGCCGCCUGGGUGGGCAGCGUGCAACCGCGCAGCCUGGGAGAAGCCUGGUGAGACGCGGGGCAGCACGUGGGGACGCAGCAAAGCACGCUCGGGGCAGGCUCCUGCCAGGGGAAGCCAGUGUAAGAGCAAAAGAGAACAGCUUUCCAUAGGGUUUAGAUUAUUUGGGGGAGUUUUGUUUUCUACACAUCGCUCCCAUCUCCC